CAGAUUUUAUUGUUACUUCUACUUUGACCCCUGGCAUCACAGUGAGACCAACUACCAGUUUGACCUCUCCUUUGACCCCCAGCACAGCAGUGAAUCCUACAUCAGUGGUGCAAUUAUGGCAGGCAGCAGUGGGUCUGGCUUCUGGAGUGGGUGUGUUCUUGAUGGGAUUGACAGCUGUCAGUCUCCGCAGGAGGACCA